rnacentral:lncRNA from 1 species
GAUGAUCUCCAACCUUUUUGGCCCAAAAAAUUACUUCCUGCCUCUACUUUUCCCAUCUGGUGGAAUCGUGAGUGUUCGAGGGAACCCUAAAGGUCAUCUAGUCCAACCCCGAACCCAAGGCAGGACUCCUCAUCUCCUCUCCUUUUAGAUCUUUCUGGUGAGUUUGUUGCUCUUCUCUGCUGGAUCGCAAGUCCUGGAUGGUGUGAAGGAUGCCAGGAAGAUAUUCCAAGAAGUGGAAGGAUCAGCUUUUAGGAGGAAAAAAAGCUCAAGAUCCAUAGGAUCGGAAAAUCAGAGCAACCCUGGACCCUCCUCGGGCGCCGUGAAACCCAUCUCCUGUCCCAAAGGAAGCUUCCAGUAUGACAGGGAGAACUGUUCUGAGUGCAAGUCUUGCACAGAAGAGAACACAAUUUUGCUGCAGGAAUGCAGAGGCAACCGGGACACCAAGUGUGGUUGCGUGGCGGGUUAUUUCGACGACCUGGAUAUUCCCCAUAUAUUAAACUGCAAAAAAUGCACCAAUUGCACCUCUCUGCACAGGGAGACCCAGCAGGCCUGUAAGUAAAUCCGGACGGCAUUAAUUUUAGGUAUAUACCGGUUUCCCUGAAAAUAAGACCUAACUGGAAAAUAAGCCCUGGCAUGAUUUUUCUGGAUGCUCAUAAUAUAAGCCCUACCCCCAAAAUAAAGCCCAGUUCAGAUUGUCUGCCAGAUGGCUGUGUUUAGUGACUGUAUUUCCCUGAAAAUAAGACCUCUGGAAAAUAAACCCUAGCGAGAAUUUUCCAGGGUGUUCCUAAAAUAAGCCCCCAAAUAAGUCCCAGUUAAGAUUGUCAGCCAGAUGGAGGCAUUCAAUAACCGUAUUCAAUUCAGAGAUUACAGGUAUCGGCAGCCCUCGAUGGAAGACCACAAUUAAGCAGCCAAUUUUCCCAUGGCUAAGCAGGACCGUUGUUAAGUCAGCUUUGCCCCCUAUUACGACCUUUCUGGCCACCACCGUUAAGUGAAUCACUGCAGGUUUGCUUCCUUGGCAAGACGGCUCUUAAGCGAGCGUCGCCCCGUUUUGUGAGCUUUCUUGCUACGGUCGCUGAACAAAUCUCUGCCUUGAGUCACCAGGCCGAACGCUUUCUUUGAAGGUCACCGAGAUGAAGACACCGAGUGCGGAACCUGCUUUUCCGGCUUUUGCGAAUAUGGAGAGUCCUGCAAGCCAUGUGGGAUGUAAGCCCCCCCCCCAACCAGAUUGGGGUAGGGUGGAGGAGGAAUUAGGGUGCCC